rnacentral:rRNA from 1 species
GAUCCUGGCUUAGGAUGAACGCUAGCUACAGGCUUAACACAUGCAAGUCAGGGGCAUCAGGCGAUAGCUUGCUAUUGCCGCUGGCGACCGGCGCACGGGUGAGUAACGCGUAUCCAACUCCCCCUUAGUAGAGGAUAGCCCGGCGAAAGUCGGAUUAAUACUCUAUGUUCUUCAAUGCGGACAUCUAACUUGAAGCAAAGAUUGAUCGCUAAGGGAUGGGGAUGCGUCUGAUUAGCUUGUCGGCGGGGUAACGGCCCACCGAGGCGACGAUCAGUAGGGGUUCUGAGAGGAAGGUCCCCCACAUUGGUACUGAGACACGGACCAAACUCCUACGGGAGGCAGCAGUGAGGAAUAUUGGUCAAUGGGCGUAGGCCUGAACCAGCCAAGUAGCGUGCAGGAAUGACUGCCCUAUGGGUUGUAAACUGCUUUUAUGCGGGAAUAAAGUCAGGUACGUGUACCUGUUUGUAUGUACCGCAUGAAUAAGGACCGGCUAAUUCCGUGCCAGCCGCAGC